rnacentral:SRP_RNA from 1 species
GCCGGGGGCGGUGGUGCGUGCCUGUAGUCCCAGCUACUCGGGAGGCUGAGGUGGGAGGAUCUCUUGAGCCCAGGAAUUCUGGGCUGUAGUGCGCUAUGCCUAUCGGGUGUCCGCACUAAGUUCGGCUUCAAUAUGGUGACCUCCCUGGAUCAGGGGACCACCAGCUUUCCUAAGGAGGGGUGAACUGGCCCAGGUCGGAAACAGAGCAGGUUAAAACUCCGGCGUUGGUCGGUAGUCGGAUCCUGCCUGUGAAUAUCCACUGCACUCCAGCCUGGGCAACAUAGCGAGACCCGGUCUCU